ensembl:snRNA U6 U6 spliceosomal RNA
GUGCUCACUUCAGCAGCACAUAUACUAAAAUUGGAGUGAUACAGAGAAGAUUAGCAUGGCCCCUGCACAAGGAUGACACGCAAAUUCGUGAAGUGUUCCAUAUUUUA